UACGAAGGGGGCUAGCGUUGCUCGGAAUCACUGGGCGUAAAGCGCACGUAGGCGGCUUUCUAAGUCAGGGGUGAAAUCCUGGAGCUCAACUCCAGAACUGCCUUUGAUACUGGAGAGCUUGAGUCCGGGAGAGGUGAGUGGAACUCCGAGUGUAGAGGUGAAAUGCGUAGAGAUCGGCAGGAACACCCAGGGGGAAACCAGUGGACUGGCACGGUGCUGACGCUCAGGUGCGAAAGCGUGGGGAGCGAACCGG
rnacentral:rRNA from 1 species